rnacentral:rRNA from 1 species
ACGUAGGUGGCAAGCGUUGUCCGGAUUUAUUGGGUUUAAAGGGUGCGCAGGCGGCCUUAUAAGUCAGUGCUGAAAUAUCCCGGCUUAACCGGGAGGGUGGCAUUGAUACUGUAGGGCUUGAGUAAAGUUGAGGUUGGCGGAAUUGACGGUGUAGCGGUGAAAUGCUUAGAUAUGACACAGAACACCGAUUGCGAAGGCAGCUCACUAAACUGUAACUGACGCUGAGGCACGAAAGCGUGGGGAGCAAACAGGA